GACGAACGCUGGCGGCGUGCUUAACACAUGCAAGUCGAACGGUAAGGCCCUUCGGGGUACACGAGUGGCGAACGGGUGAGUAACACGUGGGUGAUCUGCCCUGCACUUCGGGAUAAGCCUGGGAAACUGGGUCUAAUACCGGAUAGGACCACUGCCUGCAUGGGUGGUGGUGGAAAGCUUUUGCGGUGUGGGAUGGGCCCGCGGCCUAUCAGCUUGUUGGUGGGGUGAUGGCCUACCAAGGCGACGACGGGUAGCCGGCCUGCGAGGGUGACCGGCCACACUGGGACUGAGAUACGGCCCAGACUCCGACGGGAGGCAGCAGUGGGGAAUAUUGCACAAUGGGCGCAAGCCUGAUGCAGCGACGCCGCGUGAGGGAUGACGGCCUUCGGGUUGUAAACCUCUUUCAGCUCCGACGAAGCGCAAGUGACGGUAGGUGCAGAAGAAGGACCGGCCAACUACGUGCCAGCAGCCGCAGUAA
rnacentral:rRNA from 1 species